rnacentral:misc_RNA from 1 species
AACUGAUACUACCUGCGGGAACCUGCGGAGGGAUCAUUAGAAAUGUGGGGCUGCUGUAAAGUGGCCUUCUUUUUUAACUGUGCACUGUUUUAAUUUGGGGGGCGGAUUUUUAAUCCGCUGCCCGCCCGGGUGGCAUAAAUCGACUCCCCUAGGGGGGCUGAGGAGUGCGCCUAAUUAUUUGACUAAUCUGACUGAUCAUUACAAUGAAAUUGUUAACAUAUAAACAACUUUCAGCAAUGG